rnacentral:rRNA from 1 species
AGUGAACGCUGGCGGUAGGCCUAACACAUGCAAGUCGAACGGCAGCACAGAGGAGCUUGCUCCUUGGGUGGCGAGUGGCGGACGGGUGAGGAAUACAUCGGAAUCUACUCUGUCGUGGGGGAUAACGUAGGGAAACUUACGCUAAUACCGCAUACGACCUACGGGUUAAAGCAGGGGAUCUUCGGACCUUGCGCGAUUGAAUGAGCCGAUAUCGGAUUAGCUAGUUGGCGGGGUAAAGGCCCACCAAGGCGACGAUCCGUAGCUGGUCUGAGAGGAUGAUCAGCCACACUGGAACUGAGACACGGUCCAGACUCCUACGGGAGGCAGCAGUGGGGAAUAUUGGACAAUGGGCGCAAGCCUGAUCCAGCCAUACCGCGUGGGUGAAGAAGGCCUUCGGGUUGUAAAGCCCUCUUGUUGGGAAAGAAAUCCAUCUGGUUAAUACCCGGGUGGGAUGACGGUACCCAAAGAAUAAGCACCGGCUAACUUCGUGCCAGCAGCCGCAGUAA